AUAGAGACUCAGAGCUGCAUAUCAAUAAGCGGAGGAAAAGAAACUAACAAGGAUUCCCUUAGUAACGGCGAGUGAAGCGGGAAGAGCUCAAAUUUGAAAUCUUCAAGGUUCUACCUUGACGAAUUGUAGUUUAUAAGAAGUGUUUUCUGUUAGUAAGUCGGCUAAAAGUUCUUUGGAAUAGGACAUCAUAGAGGGUGAGAAUCCCGUAUUUGACGUCAUUCCUCCUAGCUGUUGUGAUACACUUUCAACGAGUCGGAUUGUUUGGGAAUGCAGUCCAAAAUGGGUGGUAAAUUUCAUCUAAAGCUAAAUAUUGGCGAGAGACCGAUAGCGAACAAGUACCGUGAGGGAAAGAUGAAAAGAACUUUGAAAAGAGAGUUAAACAGUACGUGAAAUUGUCAAAAGGGAAGCGUUUGACACCAGUGUUGUUUUUCCGAAAAUCAAUUACGAAUGUUUUGUUUUUAAGAAGUUAUGACUUCAUCGGCUUGCUUCUUUCUUUACGAAACUUUCUUAAUGCACUUUUCGGUUAACAAGUCAACAUCAAUUUCUUUUGUUGUAAAAGGGUACGAGGAAGGUGGCUUUCUUUUCGGAGAAAGUGUUUAUAGCCUUGUACCUCUGCAAUCGGAGAGAUUGAGGUCUGCAGCGUAGAUCCUUCGGGGUUAGAUACAUUUGUGCUAAGUUAUAGCUUUUCAUAGACAACUUGUUGACUAUGUUAAGUCUUGUAGCUUACUCGCUUAUGCUAUUUUACCUACGCUUAGGAUGUUGAUAUGCAUGACUGAUAU
rnacentral:rRNA from 1 species